rnacentral:rRNA from 1 species
GAUGAACGCUGGCGGCAUGCCUAAUACAUGCAAGUCGAACGCAAUCGCCCUUCGGGGCAAUGAUUGAGUGGCGAACGGGUGAGUAACACGUAGGAAACCUACCCAUAAGACGAGGAUAACUACUGGAAACGGUAGCUAAUACUGGAUAGCAUAUUUUACCGCAUGGUGAAAUAUUUAAAGGAGCGUAUGCUUCACUUAUGGAUGGUCCUGCGGCGCAUUAGCUAGUUGGUAAGGUAACGGCUUACCAAGGCGACGAUGCGUAGCUGAGCUGAGAGGCUGAUCAGCCACACUGGGACUGAGACACGGCCCAGACUCCUACGGGAGGCAGCAGUAGGGAAUUUUCGGCAAUGGGGGAACCCUGACCGAGCAAUGCCGCGUGAAUGAAGAAGGUCUUCGGAUCGUAAAAUUCUGUUGUUAGGGAAGAAUAGUAGAUAUAGGAAAUGAUAUCUAUGUGACGGUACCUAACCAGAAAGCUCCGGCUAACUACGUGCCAGCCGCCGCCGUAACAC